rnacentral:rRNA from 1 species
UGAGUAACACGUAUCCAACCUGCCGUCUACUCUUGGACAGCCUUCUGAAAGGAAGAUUAAUACAAGAUGGCAUCAUGAGUCCGCAUGUUCACAUGAUUAAAGGUAUUCCGGUAGACGAUGGGGAUGCGUUCCAUUAGAUAGUAGGCGGGGUAACGGCCCACCUAGUCUUCAAUGGAUAGGGGUUCUGAGAGGAAGGUCCCCCACAUUGGAACUGAGACACGGUCCAA